rnacentral:lncRNA from 8 species
GGGGGCUUUAACUAGUUCAUGUCUGAUUCAUGUCAAUCAAAAUAUGAUUACUUUCUUUACUUUACAUGCAUUUGGCAAUCCUCUGUCAUCCUGAUCAUAAACUCCCCCCUGGCCAGAAAGCAGAGAUGGAAACUAUCAUGACAUAGUAACCAGGCUAACAGAGUAAUAUGAAAAUUUGUAAGCGGACUUACAUGGACUUCAGUAUAAUAAAGGUUCUGAAAAGUCAAUUUUUUUGUUCAAUGAAUGCAUUUAAUUUAUAGCGGAAUUACAACAGCGUUGAACCCUUUCAGUCAUCUUAGGGACAGUGAGGAGACAAGAUAAGUCAGAGAAAUCUACACUAGUGUCAUGGUCUUGAUGUGCAGUUUCAAUGGGCAUGCCGACCCCGAGUGUCAACCCAAAUUAGUAACACUGUCACACUUCAAUAUUUUGGUUUGAAACUUGGAUUGCAAAUCACUCACUUAUUGGGCAAAGUUCCUUCCACAGUACGAACACAGUGCAAAUUCACAGGUUAUUCAUAAAACUUAGGGACACAUAAUAUAUGCUAAAAAAAAGGUGUUUUAAUAGCUUAUUAAUCUAUACAAUAUAUAACUUCCCCUUUAAACAAUACCAUUUACUUCUGCUCCAUAUCUUCCCAGAGUUGCUUCAUCUUCUACUUGGUGGACUACAAGCCCCUCAGGUUUAAAUGGUGGUACGUGUAGCCAGACUGGGCCUUUGCACUGGGCUGGGCCAUGGCCCUCUCCUCCAACCUCCUGGUGCCACUGUGAUCGAUUGGCAGGAUCUAUGUUGGCACAGGCCGCCUCAGGCAGAUUUAGGAUACUACUGAGGAGAUUACCAUUGUGGGAGCCAGGAGGAGGAAAGCCAAGAGGACAAUUCAGACCCAGAGCUGAGGUGGCUCCAAAAAACCCAGCAACUCAAGGACAAGAAAAUGAGACGACAGAAGCUGUAUUCAAAUGUGAUCCGUGAGCAGAACAAGAAGGCCCUGGAGUAUGCCAGGUGCAUCCUGCGGCCCAAGGUGGCGCCCCUGCCUCAGCAGACCAAGACCAGACAGCCAGAGUGGGCCCAGGGGCCACACUCGCCUCCUGGAGGGCUUCGACAUAUCCCAGCUGGCCACACUGGAGGCCCUGAGGAAACGGCGAGAGCAGGAGAAACAGACCGUGGCCCACUUCAAGAAAUCCAGUUAAUUGAAGGAGUCUCUCACCACCACACAUGA